AAAGCGCACGUAGGCGGCUUUGUAAGUUAGAGGUGAAAGCCUGGAGCUCAACUCCAGAAUUGCCUUUAAGACUGCAUCGCUUGAAUCCAGGAGAGGUGAGUGGAAUUCCGAGUGUAGAGGUGAAAUUCGUAGAUAUUCGGAAGAACACCAGUGGCGAAGGCGGCUCACUGGACUGGUAUUGACGCUGAGGUGCGAAAGCGUGGGGAGCAAACAGGAUUAGAUACCCCAGU
rnacentral:rRNA from 1 species